rnacentral:sRNA from 1 species
CUACCGUCGAGUUCGGGCAUUUCCUGGGC